GAUGAACGCUGGCGGCGUGCCUAAUACAUGCAAGUCGAGCGAACAGACGAGGAGCUUGCUCCUCUGACGUUAGCGGCGGACGGGGGAGUAACACGUGGAGAACCUACCUAUAAGACUGGGAGAACUUCGGGAAACCGGAGCUAAUACCGGAUAAUAUAUUGAACCGCAUGGUUCAAUAGUGAAAGACGGUUUUGCUGUCACUUAUAGAUGGAUCCGCGCCGCAUUAGCUAGUUGGUAAGGUAACGGCUUACCAAGGCAACGAUGCGUAGCCGACCUGAGAGGGUGAUCGGCCACACUGGAACUGAGACACGGUCCAGACUCCUACUGGAGGCAGCAGUAGGGAAUCUUCCGCAAUGGGCGAAAGCUUGACGGAGCAACGCCGCGUGAGUGAUGAAGGUCUUCGGAUCGUAAAACUCUGUUAUUAGGGAAGAACAAAUGUGUAAGUAACUAUGCACGUCUUGACGGUACCUAAUCAGAAAGCCACGGCUAACUACGUG
rnacentral:rRNA from 1 species